UACAGAGGGUGCAAGCGUUAAUCGGAAUUACUGGGCGUAAAGCGUGCGUAGACGGUUAUGUAAGUCAGGUGUGAAAGCCCCGGGCUCAACCUGGGAAUGGCAUUUGAGACUGCAUAGCUAGGGUGCGGAAGAGGGAAGCGGAAUUUCCGGUGUGAGCGGUGAAAUGCGUAGAUAUCGGAAGGAACAUCAGUGGCGAAAGCGGCUUCCUGGUCCAGCACCGACGUUCAGGCACGAAAGCGUGGGGAGCAAACAGG
rnacentral:rRNA from 1 species